GAUGAACGCUGGCGGCGUGCCUAAUACAUGCAAGUCGAGCGAACAGACGAGGAGCUUGCUCCUCUGACGUUAGCGGCGGACGGGUGAGUAACACGUGGAUAACCUACCUAUAAGACUGGGAUAACUUCGGGAAACCGGAGCUAAUACCGGAUAAUAUAUUGAACCGCAUGGUUCAAUAGUGAAAGACGGUUUUGCUGUCACUUAUAGAUGGAUCCGCGCCGCAUUAGCUAGUUGUUAAGGUAACGGCUUACCAAGGCAACGAUGCGUAGCCGACCUGAGAGGGUGAUCGGCCACACUGGAAGUGAGACACGGUCCAGACUCCUACGGGAGGCAGCAGUAGGGAAUCUUCCGCAAUGGGCGAAAGCUUGACGGAGCAACGCCGCGUGAGUGAUGAAGGUCUUCGGAUCGUAAAACUCUGUUAUUAGGGAAGAACAAAUGUGUAAGUAACUAUGCACGUCUUGACGGUACCUAAUCAGAAAGCCACGGCUAACUACGUG
rnacentral:rRNA from 1 species